AUUGAACGCUGGCGGCAUGCCUUACACAUGCAAGUCGAACGGCAGCACGGGAGCAAUCCUGGUGGCGAGUGGCGAACGGGUGAGUAAUAUAUCGGAACGUGCCCAGUAGUGGGGGAUAACUGCUCGAAAGAGCAGCUAAUACCGCAUACGACCUGAGGGUGAAAGGGGGGGAUCGCAAGACCUCUCGCUAUUGGAGCGGCCGAUGUCAGAUUAGCUAGUUGGUGGGGUAAAGGCCUACCAAGGCAACGAUCUGUAGUUGGUCUGAGAGGACGACCAGCCACACUGGGACUGAGACACGGCCCAGACUCCUACGGGAGGCAGCAGUGGGGAAUUUUGGACAAUGGGCGCAAGCCUGAUCCAGCAAUGCCGCGUGCAGGAAGAAGGCCUUCGGGUUGUAAACUGCUUUUGUCAGGGAAGAAAUCUUCUGGGUUAAUACCUCGGGAGGAUGACGGUACCUGAAGAAUAAGCACCGGCUAACUACGUGCCAGCCGCCGCAGUAAAAC
rnacentral:rRNA from 1 species